rnacentral:lncRNA from 1 species
UAUACUUGUGCAUAUAUAUAUAUUUAAACGUAUUUAUUGCUGAGCUUCUGAGAGGUACACAGGAGCACUCUUCAUGUGAGCCAGGAAAUGAAGCUGAUUAAUAGAGCUUCUUCCUCCAAAUGCUGAAAGUAAAUUCAGCCUAAAUGAUAAUCAGUAAGUUUGAUUUUAUUCAUCCCUUCAGUCUCGAGUCUGAGAGACUGCUUUGAACAGAGGAAUACUGAUGUAGACAUCCUUGCACACUCCAUAAGGUUUCCUUUACAUUGCAAAGGCUAGAGGGCUGAUGUUACUGUCAGUCGGGGGUUAAAUAUUUAUAAUGUAUAUAAAAAUAUAUGCUAAUUUUAAAACAGAAGCUAAGUUCACCACAUGGCUUGGGGCAAAUUUAAACAAAGUCAUCAAAUCAAGAGCCAUGUUUUAUAAUAAAGCCAUAGGCAGAGCACAACAGGUAUAACUCUGAAUUUGCUUGCUAUUAAGGAUAAAUGCUGAGCUCAUGGCACCGUUUGCAUACCAACGGCUGCUCGGAGCAGGUAACUGCGCCUCCUGGGCCUGUGCUGCCACAGCGGUGCUUCUAACAGGGAGGCGACACUGACCACCACCAUCAUUCCUCAUGCCUGGGACCGCAGUGAGCUUCACACGUGCCGGAUAUGAAAUGAAAAACAGAGACCUUGGUGGUCCUGCAAGAAGCUGGAGACCUGAAGGUGCUGAGCCUUCACACCCUGUAAUGGGAAACGGUGUCUGAACAGGUCAGGGCAUCACUGGCAGAGGAGAAGCGAGUCACCAAGAGGUCCAGCACCAUGGGAUCCAACGCCACAGUGUUUUCAAUACUAUGCGAAGAGACUAUCUACAUAAUUCCAGUACUGCGUGACAAGAUAACAUAUAUAAUUUCAGUAAUGUGUGAAGAGACAACUAGCAGAGGACUCUGCCUCCUUUAUAUGAUUCUAUACUCCCAGUUUAAAUUGUGUCACCAGUUUCUGCUUCCAGUCCUUCACGCAAAUGCUUGGGAGGUGCUUUUCUCCCCUACCCAGGAAAAAAUAAAGAGGACUUCAAGUGGAGACAAUCCACACUUAGAUUUAGGAAUGAGGCUUGCCAGUGGGCUCCUCGCAAGGAAAGGAGGCGCUGGGGCUUUCGUCCCCAGCCAGCGGCACUCCCCGGUCUGCCUGGAGCCUGCAGAGCGCUCUGUGGCUGCCCCUAAAGCUGAGCACGCAGCCGCCUCCAUCCCCGCUCUUGCUUCUGAACAAAGGGGACUUUACGUCCAGCUUUGCCGUCUUUUAAUAACGUACACAGCAGCAGUCAGGGAUAUAAAGACAGCAACUGGGAAUUCACAUGCAUUUUAGCUCCAAGAGGGAAAGAAGGGGAGACAGGGAGAAGCCUUUAUGAGAAAGAAGGGUGAGCCAGGCCUGGGAGCCCCGUGGAGGGCCGGGCACAGCGGUGGUACAGCUGGAGACGAAGCAGAAAGGGGAUGCUUUCCUACCUAUCUCAGCCAUCCAGUCCCACCAGCUCUCCCUUACACCACGUUAAUUCAAAGACACAAACUUUUAAGGAUUUACCGCACAUUUCUACCUGAAAUACAUUUCCAUAGAAAAAAGAAAAAGGAAAGCCAAAUGCAGACCUUCAUAUAACCCACCAGGGAAACCUGACACCAUGACUUUGACCUGUUGGCACCUCCUGGACACACAACUGUGGAACACAAGCAGGCAUCUUCUCCUUUUAUUUCUCCUUAACAAUCAAAUGCAAACUGCACAAUGCAAGAAGCAAUGACGUCCACUAGGAACUGCAAGCCUUGUUAAGAAUUAUUUAUAGCAGACUGGGGAUUUGCACUUCCUCAGUCCAGAAGAAAACGCUGCUCCGACCUAACCACUUCCAAAAUCCGAAGCAGUCUGUAAAGUCACCAACAUGGAAAUAGUUCAGGAGCUUAAUGCUUGAUUGGUGUAAAACUGUCUUUCCGAGUCUACAGGCAGACAUUUUCCCACUGAUUCUUGUGUUGUCAAAAAGCAGCAGCACUUUUGCUUCGUCUCUGCAAAACCCUACAAACCUGAAUCCUCCGGCUGCUCACACAAAAGCACAAGCACCCAUAAAUACGUUCGCACUCUGGAUUAACCAAGACCACUUCUACUCCUCAGCAUCACUCUCUUCUUCCUAUUCCUUCUGCAGUAGCCAGGAGAACAGGGGAGGAGGAGCACGGUGAAAAUUUAUUGUUGGUUAUUACCAUUAUUGCAAGCACAAGUGCCCUGGAGAUGAUGACCUACAUACAUUUGGUAUCCGCACCCAAACAGCCUGUGCUCUGACCGCAGUGGGAGGGGAGGCAGACGCAUGCCCAGGAGGAUUUGGAGGAGGCAGGAGAAAGAAGGAAAGAAAGUCACCCCGUCCUUGUGUUUCACACAACAAGACAGAAGUUGUUGGAAAGCCAACGAAGCGGAGAUGCAGGAAAAUACCUCAGUGGGCACCUCAGCACCCUCCGGUUUCCCUGUUUUUAGAGGUUUGGCCAGGUCUUCGGACAGAACUGAUCCCAAGCUUUUCUCAGACCUUCCUGUUCCCGUCCAAGCACUGUAAGAUGAUGGCAGAGAAGAACUGUGUGCUGCCAUCCAGCUUUUGCUGACAGUGCAGAGCACAGAAGAGACGAGGCCGUGGAGGAACGGUGGGACGGCGCCCGUGAGGCCCGGCUGGCAGCCCGCAGCAGCGCAGGCCUGCCCAGCUCUCUGUGCCCUGGGAGGCUCUGAGGCCUUGGUCGUGGGUGUAAACCAGGCCACUAACGUGUGCGUGAGGCUGCCUUUGGUAGACACACAAGAUAUCCCUGCGUUUACCUACAGAUGGGCGAAGGGAACCGCGCACUUGGAUCAGUCCACGAUGGGGAAACGACCGCUUGUCAGACCGGGCUGUCUCACGGGGACAGCUUACACACGCAGAUGGCCGCUGGGCUCCACUGCCAGGGCAUCAACAAGCCCCUGUUUUUAUGUCCUGUAACGCUUCAAAAGCCAACUGCACAGACAACAGACAGCAAAGUCCCACCACAUCCAUUCAGAAAGGAGCAAGUUAUUUCUUAAAUUCAUUGAUUUGGGGCUUCCCUCCUACAGGCAGGGCAGGAAUCCUUGCUGCAGGCCAGCUCUCCCCUAAAACACCGCAACAAAGACAAAACUCCCAAACCUUGCUCAAAUGCCUGCAACUGAGCACACUCCAAGCACAAGUGACUGCUGCCCUCAUUAGGAAGGACAAAGUGUUAUCAGCAGCGGGGGGAGGAAAUAAAAAUAAAAAAAAUAAAAAAAGCA